GAUGAACGCUGGCGGCGUGCCUAAUACAUGCAAGUAGAACGCUGAAGGAGGAGCUUGCUCUUCUGGAUGAGUUGCGAACGGGUGAGUAACGCGUAGGUAACCUGCCUGGUAGCGGGGGAUAACUAUUGGAAACGAUAGCUAAUACCGCAUAACAGUAGAUAUUGCAUGAUAUCUGCUUGAAAGGUGCAAUUGCAUCACUACCAGAUGGACCUGCGUUGUAUUAGCUAGUUGGUGAGGUAACGGCUCACCAAGGCGACGAUACAUAGCCGACCUGAGAGGGUGAUCGGCCACACUGGGACUGAGACACGGCCCAGACUCCUACGGGAGGCAGCAGUAGGGAAUCUUCGGCAAUGGACGGAAGUCUGACCGAGCAACGCCGCGUGAGUGAAGAAGGUUUUCGGAUCGUAAAGCUCUGUUGUAAGAGAAGAACGAGUGUGAGAGUGGAAAGUUCACACUGUGACGGUAUCUUACCAGAAAGGGACGGCUAACUACGUGCCAGCAGCCGCGGUAAUACGUAGGUCCCGAGCGUUAUCCGGAUUUAUUGGGCGUAAAGCGAGCGCAGGCGGUUAGAUAAGUCUGAAGUUAAAGGCUGUGGCUUAACCAUAGUACGCUUUGGAAACUGUUUAACUUGAGUGCAAGAGGGGAGAGUGGAAUUCCAUGUGUAGCGGUGAAAUGCGUAGAUAUAUGGAGGAACACCGGUGGCGAAAGCGGCUCUCUGGCUUGUAACUGACGCUGAGGCUCGAAAGCGUGGGGAGCAAACAGG
rnacentral:rRNA from 1 species